rnacentral:misc_RNA from 1 species
CUCCAGGGACUACGAGGAGAUGCAGUCGAAGGACAAGGUGAAGUUCUACAAGACACCGGAUUCGGUGUUGCAGAAGCAGCUCGAAAUCUUCGAUCAGGUCGCCGAGAAAAAGUCGGCGGAAAACCCGCUGUUCAAGGAAAUCGUUGAAUCCCAGUUGGCGUUUGCCAAGCGCGCAACCCAGUGGGAGCAGGACACGGUCGUCAGCCGGCG